rnacentral:rRNA from 1 species
UCCGUUUGAUCCCGCCAGAAGCUACUGCUAUUGGGAUUCGAUUAAGCCAUGCAAGUCGAAUGAAUUUAUAUUCAUGGCGUACGGCUCAGUAACACGUGGAUAAUCUACCCUUAGGACCGGGAUAACUCUGGGAAACUGGAGAUAAUACUGGAUAGGCAAUUUUUCCUGUAAUGGUUUUUUGUUUAAAGGUUCCUUGUGUUCGCCUAAGGAUGAGUCUGCGGCAGAUUAGGUAGUUGGUUGGGUAAUGGCUACCAAGCCUUAAUCGUAC